rnacentral:rRNA from 1 species
AACGCGAAGAACCUUACCAGGAUUUGACAUGCCCUCUAUGGAUUCCCGAAAAGGAAUCCUUCACUUCGGGUGGGAGGUGCACAGGUGCUGCAUGGCUGUCGUCAGCUCGUGUCGUGAGAUGUUGGGUUAAGUCCCGCAACGAGCGCAACCCUCGUCUUCUGUUGCUACCACGUUAUGGUGAGCACUCUGAAGAAACUGCCGGUGAUAAGCCGGAGGAAGGUGGGGAUGACGUCAAGUCCUCAUGGCCCUUACAUCCUGGGCUACACACGUGUUACAAUGGCAGUGACAAUGAGUUGCGAUCGCGCAAGCGCUAGCUAAUCUCAAAAAGCUGCCUCAGUUUGGAUUGUACUCUGCAACUCGAGUACAUGAAAUUGGAAUCGCUAGUAAUCGUAGAUCAGCACGCUACGGUGAAUACGUUCCCGGGCCUUGUACACACCGAUAGC